CCUUCCUCUAAACCCUUCUACAUGUUUUCCUUAUUCACCAAAACCUAAAAUCUCUCCAACAACCAAAUAAAUCAAUAUCCAUCAGUUUAAUAUCCCACAUUCACGUCUUCCCCAUCCGAGAAAAAUCUGUGAGAAAAACCUAGUGCAGUUUUCUCCUCUUCCGUGAAGUGUGAAGGAGAAACCGAGGGAGCGUGAUUUUUUUUUUCAAUACCUUCUGUUUGAGCAAUUUUCGUUCCAUACCAAAGAUUGAGCGGCGAUGGACGUGGAGGAUGUUGAGCAGAGUUCAUGGAUUGUUUUGUCAUGAUUAAUAAUUGUUGGAUUUGUCGUGUCUUCAUACUCGGCAUUUUCCGUGUCUUGAACGCUUCCGCUAAGAGUCCUUUUCUUUAGAAUUGUUUAUUCAUGGAGAGUCUUACUCGUUUGAAAAUUGUCCAUUCUUUAUUUACUUAGAGUUGGUAUUAUUGUUAGGAUAAUAUUAUGACGUUUUCAAAGUUAAUCCAGUUAUUAAAUUUUUGGUCAAA